AGAUAAAAGUACCGGAAGUAGAUGCCACUGCUGAAGCCAUGUACUUGCAGCUUUUCUGGUUCUUGUCGGCUGGUGUCGAGCAGCGGAAGAAGCAAGUCAAAUAAACGGAUUAUAACCUCACAGUCUUUUCAGGAAAACCAUUUAAAGACAUGGAAAAGAUCCUGGUCAGUUUCUUACCUACAGUUUGGGAUUUGAGAGGUCUUCAGACUCUAGGUGAUGUGAUGAUGAUGCUCAUCUUCAUCUCCAGCCGUGUGGGUGAUGGAGGCUGAGGAUUGUGUGGAUGACCAGGAGCUUCACUCUGAACCCUGACAACCUCCCUCUGCUUCAGUGGUUUCUGACUCCAUGACUUGGUCAUCAUGGCAACCAGCUGGAUGACUGAGGUCCCUGAUUUGACUUUCUGAGAAUCAGGCCAAGGUCUCUCUAAUAGUGCUGAACAUCAGGCUGUUAACUGCAGAGCAUCAGACCUUAUCUGUGGAUCCUCCCGACGGUUUCUCUCCUACCGCCUGGAGUUUCGCUCUGAAUCCUGACCUCCUCUUUGUGCUUCUGUGACUUGUGGGUCCAUAAAUCAGUCACCAUGGUGAACAACUGGAUGAUUGAAAGUCCCCCGUCUGACUUUCUGAGUGUUCACCAUCACUCUGCUCUGCAGCUGGUCUCCUUUUCCACAGUGCAGUGACACAGUGUUGAAGAGGUGAGUGUGUUAGAGGAAAUGUUAAUGUCAGGUUUAGUCUGUAUACACUCAGAGGUCAUUUGUAGCUGCUGCUGCUGCUGCUGCUGCUGCUGUGGUUGUAAUGAUGUAAACCCUGAUUGGUUGGACAGUUUGAGUGACAGCAUUUACUGAGGCAAAGCAGAACAGCUGCUGAUCCUGAGCUACUCUUACAAAUGGAAGAUCAGUGAAGAUCAUAUCCUCUAUUGGACCUGACUGAACAGCCAGAGCCUGAUAUUCUCUACAGUCAUGGCCAGAAGAAGCUCCAGUGCCAGAAAUGAAUCACAAAGCUGGUUUUUUUGUAUAUUUACACUGCAAUAAAAAGUCUUUAAAGUGGUGAUCUGUGUUGGGGUCCUUAAUGCUGACUGAAAAUAGUUUGUGACUUCUUAAUGAAAAGUGCCUUAAAACAGAUUAAUUUAAUUUACCUGGUUUUGGUGAACUUUGUGUAGAUUGUCACACUUUUUUUAAAGCCAACAAACAUCAGUCAACAAACAUUUAGGUUUCUUUUUUUCAGUGUCAAAAAAUAAGAAAUCAGAAUAUAGCAAUUUCUUAAAAAACUUUUCUUUGUUUGAAGUGUUAAUUUGUUUAUCUAUUACUUAACAUGGGGGAAACUGUUAAAGUGAAAAUACACUAUAAAUUCAGAAACUGCCCCCCCCCUCCCGCAGAAAAAUUAAAAAUAAAAUAAAAUAAAA